GGAAUCUUCCACAAUGGGCGCAAGCCUGAUGGAGCAACACCGCGUGAGUGAAGAAGGGUUUCGGCUCGUAAAGCUCUGUUGUUGGAGAAGAACGUGCGUGAGAGUAACUGUUCACGCAGUGACGGUAUCCAACCAGAAAGUCACGGCUAACUACGUGCCAGCAGCCGCGGUAAUACGUAGGUGGCAAGCGUUAUCCGGAUUUAUUGGGCGUAAAGCGAG
rnacentral:rRNA from 1 species